AACGAACGCUGGCGGCAGGCUUAACACAUGCAAGUCGAACGGGCGUAGCAAUACGUCAGUGGCAGACGGGUGAGUAACACGUGGGAAUAUCCAUUUCAGUUAGGAAUAACUCAGGGGAACUUGAGCUAAUACCGGAUACGUCCUUCGGGAGAAAGAUUUAUCGCUGAGAGAUUAGCCCGCGUCUUAUUAGCUAGUUGGUGAGGUAAUGGCUCACCAAGGCGACGAUCAGUAGCUGGUCUGAGAGGAUGAUCAGCCACACUGGGACUGAGACACGGCCCAGACUCCGACGGGAGGCAGCAGUGGGGAAUAUUGGACAAUGGGGGAAACCCUGAUCCAGCCAUGCCGCGUGAGUGAUGAAGGCCUUAGGGUUGUAAAGCUCUUUUGCCAGGGAAGAUAAUGACUGUACCUGGAGAAUAAGCCCCGGCUAACUUCGUGCCAGCCGCCGCGGUAA
rnacentral:rRNA from 1 species